UUUUGUUUUUAUCGGACGAAACUGUACGUCAUGAUUGACGUCAUCGGCUGUAACAGAAAUUGAAAACACAGCUCAGAGGAAAAAGGAUUUAUCAAGUCUCUGUUAAAACUGGAACUCGGUAUCACAUCUGACUCGCACUUCUGAAAUGGAUCAAAUCGGACUUUGUCGUCGAGACUCGGAAGAACCCAGCUGCCUCAAUGAUAAUGCCAGUGGAACUCAAAACAGAAAAGAUACUUGUAUGCAAGACAUGGAGAAAAGAGAAGACUUGGUGCCUCCAUGAAUUGAUGUUUUUAGGAUAACCAUGGAGGAUAUCCGAGGAAUAAAGGUUAACUCGGUAUAAAGUCUUGCUGACAUGAACAUGAUAAUCACAAGAAAGUGAAUAUAUUUCAUCACCUUAAGCAAUCUUCAAAAUACCAGAUUGGAAAAAGAAAGAAGAUUUGUAGCAUUGUAUUGAAUAU